rnacentral:misc_RNA from 1 species
UUAACUUAUUUGUUUUGUACUCAGAGAUGCCACUAUAAUAUAUGAGAGUUUCGCACCUCCGGCGCUGCGGCGUCCCGGUAAAGGGGCCCCCGCGCCGCCGAAGCAACUUGGACGUGUUCGCGAUGGUUUUAAGUAGCCUCCUCGGCUUCUUGUAAUGAUCCCUCCGCUGGUUCACCAACGGAGA